AAUAAAAAAAUAGUUUAUUCAAAAGAGGUUAAGUUUAUUGUAAAAAAACAUAAAUAAGGUUUACAUAUGUUGAAUUUAGGUUAGAUUAGAAUCAUAGAAAAUUAUAAAUUGUGUCGAAAGGAAAUUUUAGAAUAUGGACUAAUAAUGUGAUUGUAUAUGUGAACUAUUGCCAUAAACAGUGAUUCAAAAACACUUAUAUUUCAUUACAAUACUUCAAAUUUAUGAUUUUGUAAAUAUCGAUGGUUUACAUGACAUAUGAGAAAGUUACGAGAGCCAAAAGAGGAAAUUUUUUGGCUCUUUUGUCUGCUGUAUCUUGGAAAGUUUGUGUGGAUCAGUUUUUUUGGUGGUGUUGUUUGUUGUUUGGUGAAAGGAGAGACGAAAUAUUUACAAAUCCUAUAUGUGGAAUUGAAUAUAAACUAAAGAUGACCAAGUUGUUGAAGAUGAUUCACGUUCGGGACGCUUUCCAAUAACAGAUGAAAAUAUCGAAGAAGUCAGUAAUCUUGUUCGAUCUAACCGUAGGCUAAGUUUUCAUGCGAUUGAUGAAUCUAUAAGAAUGUCUGCGGCAAAUUUUUGUCAUAGAAAACGUGUAAAACUGGUGCCUCUAUCCACCAAGAGCUUUUUAGCAAAGUACAACAUCCGAGUGUUAGACCAUCCACCUAAUUCGUUGGUUCUCGCUCCGUGCGACUUUUAUAACGCCAAAUCUGCAUUAAAAGGAACAAUAUGUAAGUCUUUGGAAACUAGGGAAGAAAAAGCGGCGCGCGUUCUGAAGAUACUGACAGAAAAAGACUUCCAGCACUGUUGCGAAUAAUGGAAAAUUCGCAUGGAACCUUGUAGGGAUAAAGGAGGUGAUAAUAAAUUAAUAUCCAUAUCAAAAUGUAUAAAACCAGUUUGGUUAUUUAGCCGUAGCCAAACCUCGUAAAACCCAAUAAAAACGUAUAUAG